GCCAGCGUGGUGUAGCGGUUUGCACAAUGGCCUAGCAUUCUGGAGAGCGGGGUUCGAAUCCCAGCUCAGCA